UCCACUGCUCCAGGCUGUUCCCAACCCACACUGCCCUUCCAGGCCCUGCCACCUCCCAACCACUUCCUGGGGACAACAGCCAUCUCCUUUGGACCAGGCCACAGGGGGACACUCUGGGAUCAGCCUCCUGUGAUGGAUUUUCAUGUGUCCCAUGGCAGUGGGGUGUCUUCUAGGCUGCACUCACCUGGAAGGAGUUUUCUUUGCUUCCCUGCUGGCUGAGGCUGCAGACUCUGGAAUAAAUCUGGAAUUGACUUUCCUAAUGGACUGCAAUGAGAGGAAACAUCUCUGGCCAGGCCUCAUCAGUGACGUGGGAGUGUCCAGUUCAAGCUGGAGAGGAGAGGGCUCCCACAUCUCAAAACACCCUGAAUUCCUGUGGAUGAGGGCUUACAACACCCUGCUGCAGCCUGGGCACCUGCAGGGCUGGGCAGCAGGCACAGAACAGUUAAGUGACUUGCACAAGGGUGAAUCAGCAGGACUUGAGGAACUCAACCUGAAGGCAGGUGCUGAGCUGCAGGAACUGACACAGCCCCACAGCAGUGCCACCAGGUGAGACCCUGCACCCCCUGAGCCCAGCAGUGCCACCAGGAGUGACCCUGGCACAGCUCCACAGCAGUGCCACCAGGUGAGACCCUGCACCCCCUGAGCCCAGCAGUGCCACCAGGAGUGACCCUGACACAGCCCCACAGCAGUGCC